UACGAAGGGGGCUAGCGUUGCUCGGAAUCACUGGGCGUAAAGCGCACGUAGGCGGAUUGUUAAGUCAGGGGUGAAAUCCUGGAGCUCAACUCCAGAACUGCCUUUGAUACUGGCGAUCUCGAGUCCGGGAGAGGUGAGUGGAACUGCGAGUGUAGAGGUGAAAUUCGUAGAUAUUCGCAAAGAACACCAGUGGCGAAGGCGGCUCACUGGCCCGGUACUGACGCUGAGGUG
rnacentral:rRNA from 1 species